rnacentral:rRNA from 1 species
CUUAAUUCGACUCAACACGGGAAAACUCACCAGGCCCGGACACUGGAAGGAUUGACGGAUUAACAGCUCUUUCUCGAUUCGGUGGGUGGUGGUGCAUGGCCGCUCUUAGUUGGUGGAGCGAUUUGUGAGGUUAAUUCCGGUAACGAACGUAACUCUAGCCUAUUAAAUAGACGUGCAACCGGUAUCACGAGGGUCCGCGUGCGCGCGUUCCGUGGCGUUCGCGUCGCGUGCGUGCGUUUCGCGGUCUUCACUACCGGCGUACAAUGAAAAUCUUCUUAGAGGGACCGGCGGUNUAUAUAGCCGCACGAGAUUGAGCAAUAGCAGGUCUGUGAUGCCCUUAGAUGUCCUGGGCCGCACGCGCGCUACACUGAAGGGAUCAGCGUGUCCUCCUUGGCCUAACGGCCCGGGUAACCCGAUGAAACCCCUUCGUGAUAGGGAUUGGGGUUUGCAAUUCUCCCCCAUGAACGAGGAAUUCCUAGUAAAAGCGAGUCACCAGCUCGCGUUGAUUGCGUCCCUGCCCUUUGUACACACCGCCCGUCGCUACUACCGAUGGAUGAUUUGGUGAGGUCUUCGGACUG